rnacentral:rRNA from 1 species
UACGUAGGGUCCGAGCGUUGUCCGGAAUUAUUGGGCGUAAAGAGCUCGUAGGCGGUUUGUCGCGUCUGCUGUGAAAUCCCGAGGCUCAACCUCGGGCCUGCAGUGGGUACGGGCAGACUGGAGUGCGGUAGGGGAGAAUGGAAUUCCUGGUGUAGCGGUGAAAUGCGCAGAUAUCAGGAGGAACACCGGUGGCGAAGGCGGGUCUCUGGGCCGAUACUGACGCUGAGGAGCGAAAGCGUGGGGAGCGAACAGG